UACGGGGGGAGCAAGCGUUGUUCGGAUUUACUGGGCGUAAAGGGCGCGUAGGCGGCCACCGCAAGUCGGUUGUGAAAUCUCUGGGCUUAACCCAGAAAGGUCAACCGAUACUGCGGGGCUAGAGUGCAGAAGGGGCAACUGGAAUUCUCGGUGUAGCGGUGAAAUGCGUAGAUAUCGGAAGGAACACCAGUGGCGAAAGCGGCUUCCUGGUCCAGCAUCGACGUUCAGGCACGAAAGCGUGGGGAGCAAACAGG
rnacentral:rRNA from 1 species